rnacentral:lncRNA from 1 species
GUAGUUGACGUUGGUCAGCACGGAGGCCACAGGAUCCCAGCCCGGCCUUUGUGGGACUGAGGUGGCGCUGAGUGGGAGAGCAGCAGGCGAUGCGCGAAAGGCGGGACUUGGAGAUAAAUACUGAGCACCCACAACAGGCAGCCAGCACCACUGCAGAUUGGAUACUGCAAUGAUGAUAAGCAUGGCCUGCCUUUAUGGAGGUUCUGGAUGUUCCUGUGGAUAACCUCAAGGAGCACGGGACCUGGGACAUGACUGCCCCCAGCAUUCCUUCUGGCGGCAGACAGAGUUUGUCAGUUCGCCAACAUCCUGCUUUCAUGAGAACAGUUUGCUGUUUGCUCACAGAGCCUCCAGUGGUAUACUGAGUUGGUCACGACCCUCAUUCCUUCGGCCUCCAACAUCUCCCCUUUUGUUUUUGCAUUAAUUGAAUAAAGAUGACGUCACUGAGGUAAGGGCGGGUUAAAGCCUGUCCUAUACCAAGCAAGUUGUGCAGCCAACUGGGGGACUGAAUCCCAGUGUGAUGUGAUGAAGAGGUGUUGAAGGUCCACCACCAGUGCCAGUGAAGUUUGUGCCAAGAGAUUCCGCUGGCUCAUGGCUCGUACUGGAGGUAACAGGCCCACGGUUGAAUACCAUGGAUCCCUCCGGUCUCCCGUUCCAUGGUCACACACACCUGGAGGGCACCCACACGGUUUGUCCAUCUCCUGUAAAAACACAAGCAUACCCUCGUCCCCACGUCAGCAAAUCCACCGGACCUUUCCAUUGUCCUUCUUCUGGGGAUUUCCAUAACACUUUUGGAUAAACUUGCCUCUUUUCCUCUAGCAGUUGCCAGUGUCGUUCUGCUGGGGUCUUGCCAUCCGUACCAGGAGUCAAACAAUUUAAAGUAAACAAGGCUAAAUGUAAUUUUGUUUGAAGUGGUAAUUGGUCCCCUAUUCUCCCUUUUUGUUUUUUCAGCAUGCGUUGUAGUGUUUGAUGUACCCGCUCAAUAAUGCCUGGCCCUCAGGGAUUGUAUGGAAUUCCUGUUUUAUGAUUGAUUGCCCACAAUUGUAAAAAAUUGGGAAAGCAUGACUAACAUAAGCGAGUCCACUGUCAGUUUUAAAUUGUUUAGGGACCCCCAUAUGGGCAAAUGACGACAGACAGUAUCGUCAGACAUGACCAGCUGUUUCCCCAGUUUGGCAUGUGGCAUGUAACAUAUGGGAGUAAGUGUCUAUAUUACAUGAACAUAGCGGAGUUAGCCAAAGGCUGCUAUAUAUAUGUAACAUCCAUCUGCCAGAUUUCAUUUGGAGCCAAGCCUCGUGGGUUGCAUCCUUCCACAGGUGCAACACCAGGGACAUGCUGGCAAGUGGGGCAGGCUUGCACAAUAACUCAAGCCUGGCUGCGAGGCAGAUGAAACAUACGAGUAAGGGCAAGUUGUUCUGAUGCAGUAAAGCAUGGGAAGCUUGGGCUUGUUGAAAUAUAGAACUGAUGAAUUUAUCUGCUCUAUCAUUACCUAGAGAUAGUGGCCCCAGGAAGUUGUGUGUGAGAUCGGAUAUGAGAAAUAUGAAAAGGGGCAGCAUGAGAGCGAACAGCUUUUUGGAGUCUCAGAAAUAGGUUAAGCAGUUCUGGUUUUAAGGUGCUCUUGUGUGGGCGGCAAGCCAUCCAGGCGCCGAAGCAAGAGACAGAGGACACGGGCUGUUCCAGUAUAAUAAAAUAUAAAACAAGAAUAGUUAUACCAGAUAUAGAUCUUAGAUAUGAUUAUAUAUGAAUAUCAUUAAUCAUUAGUUUGUAGCAAUUACUUUUUAUUCCAAUAUUACAAUAAUCCUUGCUCUAUAAUCAUAGCCUAGGAAAAACCAGGCCAUACAGAGAUAGGAGCUGAGGGGACAUAGUGAGGUGUGACCAGAAGACAAGAGUGCGAGCCUUCUGUUAUGCCCAGACAGGGCCACCAGAGGGCUCCUUGGUCUAGUGGUGACGCCAGCGUUUGGGAAGACCGUGGUCUAGCGGUAGCGAAAAGUGUCAAGGAACAACACCCGCUACUUAGCAGACCGGGAAAGGGUGGGGGGCGGUCUCCCUUUCCCUGGGGGAGGUUAGAGAAGACUCUGCUCCUCCACCUCUUGUGGAGGGCCUGACAUUAGUCAGGCUCGCCCACAGUUAUCCGGAGGCCUAACCGUCUCCCUGUGAUUCUGUGCUUCAGUGGUCACGCUCCUAGUCCGCCUUCAUGUUCCAUCCUGUACACCUGGCUCUGCCUUCUAGAUAGCAGUAGUAAAUUAGUGAAAGUACUAAUAGUCCCUGAUAUGCAGAAAUAAUGGCGUAAGCUGUCUUUCUCUCUGUCUCCUCUCCCUCUCUGCCUCGGCUGCCAGGCAGGGAAGGGCCCCCUGACCAGUGGACACAUGACCCACGUGACCUUACCUAUCAUUGGAGAUGACUCACACUCUUUACCCUGCCCCUUUUGCUUUGUAUCCAAUAAAUAAGAGCGCAGCCAGACAUUCGGGGCCACUACCGGUCUCCGCGCAUUGGUGGUAGUGGUCCCCCAGGCCCAGCU